AUGGCGACCCGCAGCCCCAGCGUCGUGGUUAGUGAUGAUGAACCAGGUUAUGACCUAGAUUUAUUUUGUAUACCUCAUCAUUACGCUGAGGAUUUGGAAAAGGCGUUUAUUCCUCAUGGACUAAUUAUGGACAGGACCUAGCGUCUUGCCCGAGACGUGUUGAAGAUGGGUGGCCAUCACAUGGUAGCCCUCUGUGUGCUCAAGGGGGGCUAUAAAUUCUUCGCGGACCUCCUGGAUUACAUCAAAGCACUAAACAGAAAUAGUGAUGGGUCCAUUCCUAUGACUGUAGAUUUCAUCAGACUGAAGAGCUAAUGUAAUGACCAGUCAACAGGGGACAUAAAAGAAAUUGGUGGAGAUGAUUUCUCAACUUUAACUGGAAAGAAUGUCUUGAUUGUUGAGGAUAUAAUUGACACUGGCAAAACAAUGCAAACCUUGCUCUCCAUGGUCAAGCAGCAUAAUCCAAAGAUGGUCAAGGUUGCAAGGCUGCUGGUGAAGAGGACCCCUCGAAGUGUUGGCUAUAAACCAGACUUCGUCGGAUUUGAAAUCCCAGACAAGUUUGUCAUACGAUAUGCCCUUGACUACAAUGAAUACUUCAGCGACUUGAAUCAUGUUUGUGUCAUUAGUGAGACCGGAAACGUAAAAUACAAAGCCUAAGAUGAGAUUUCAAGUUGAGUUUGGAAGCGCCUGGAGUCCCCUUGGAAUCACCAGUCCCAUGUUCUAGUUCUGUGGCCAG